AGAUAUAACGUGCCCGAGCUGCUUACCCCUAUACCCUAUAGAAAUCACUACAUAACGGAAACCGACGGAAUAAAAGUCCUUAUUACGAAUCUUAGCAGUGACAUCCAGGGUAACGUCGAUUGCAAUUUUGGGAAAUGAAUGAACUUUAAGGUGCCGGAGCUUGAGCCGGGCAAUGGAGAGUUCGGGAUCAGAGGGCCAUAUCAAGAAAAGUGCGGCGGAGAGGAGGAUGAACACGGCGGCGCAACAAACGUAUCGACGGGUAGGUCGCCGAAGAAAUUGUCGAGGGGUACGGUAGUAUUGAGGUAGAACGAUAAUGUAUUGGGGUUGUUGAUGUGGUUGGGGUGGAUAGGAAGGGAGGGGGUCGUAAGGUCUAGGGGGUGGAUCGGAGAGUUUAGAGGAAGCCAUUGAUGAAGGGUUUUAGGAGUUGAAAGGAGAGAACUAGGACCGGAGAUAUAAGGUGGAGGAGGAGUCUCGUGUAAUACAAAUUGUAUUUUUACUCAACUCAUGUUGGCUGUUG
rnacentral:misc_RNA from 1 species